AGUGAACGCUGGCGGUAGGCCUAACACAUGCAAGUCGAACGGCAGCACAGUAAGAGCUUGCUCUUACGGGUGGCGAGUGGCGGACGGGUGAGGAAUACAUCGGAAUCUACUUUUUCGUGGGGGAUAACGUAGGGAAACUUACGCUAAUACCGCAUACGACCUACGGGUGAAAGCAGGGGAUCUUCGGACCUUGCGCGAUUGAAUGAGCCGAUGUCGGAUUAGCUAGUUGGCGGGGUAAAGGCCCACCAAGGCGACGAUCCGUAGCUGGUCUGAGAGGAUAAUCAGCCACACUGGAACUGAGACACGGUCCAGACUCCUACGGGAGGCGGCAGUGGGGAAUAUUGGACAAUGGGCGCAAGCCUGAUCCAGCCAUACCGCGUGGGUGAAGAAGGCCUUCGGGUUGUAAAGCCCUUUUGUUGGGAAAGAAAAGCAGCAGGUUAAUACCCCGCUGUUCUGACGGUACCCAAAGAAUAAGCACCGGCUAACUUCGUG
rnacentral:rRNA from 1 species